rnacentral:rRNA from 1 species
GACGAACGCUGGCGGCGUGCUUAACACAUGCAAGUCGAACGGAAAGGCCCUGCUUUUGUGGGGUGCUCGAGUGGCGAACGGGUGAGUAACACGUGAGUAACCUGCCCUUGACUUUGGGAUAACUUCAGGAAACUGGGGCUAAUACCGGAUAGGAGCUCCUGCUGCAUGGUGGGGGUUGGAAAGUUUCGGCGGUUGGGGAUGGACUCGCGGCUUAUCAGCUUGUUGGUGGGGUAGUGGCUUACCAAGGCUUUGACGGGUAGCCGGCCUGAGAGGGUGACCGGCCACAUUGGGACUGAGAUACGGCCCAGACUCCUACGGGAGGCAGCAGUGGGGAAUAUUGCACAAUGGGCGGAAGCCUGAUGCAGCAACGCCGCGUGCGGGAUGACGACCUUCGGGUUGUAAUCCGCUUUCGCCUGUGACGAAGCGUGAGUGACGGUAAUGGGUAAAGAAGCACCGGCUAACUACGUG